rnacentral:misc_RNA from 1 species
AACUGAUACUACCUGCGGGAACCUGCGGAAGGAUCAUUACAGAGUGUUCUACCCCCUUGUAAAAUGGUGGGUUUAACCUCCCGUCCUUUGCCAGACCCCCCCUUUCGUUGGGGGGCCUUUCAAACCUUUCUGCUUCGGCGGGGUUACCCGUCGGAACACCCUCAAAAAUUCUUGGUCAAAACUGUUCGGUCCGAGAAACUUAUGAAAAUUGAAGCAAAACUUUUAACAACGGAUCUCUAG